UUUAUGGAGAGUUUGAUCCUGGCUCAGGAUGAACGCUGGCGGCGUGCCUAAUACAUGCAAGUCGAGCGAACGGACGAGAAGCUUGCUUCUCUGAUGUUAGCGGCGGACGGGUGAGUAACACGUGGAUAACCUACCUAUAAGACUGGGAUAACUUCGGGAAACCGGAGCUAAUACCGGAUAAUAUUUUGAACCGCAUGGUUCAAAAGUGAAAGACGGUCUUGCUGUCACUUAU
rnacentral:rRNA from 1 species